rnacentral:rRNA from 1 species
GACGAACGCUGGCGGCGUGCCUAAUACAUGCAAGUUGAGCGCUGAAGGUUGGUACUUGUACCAACUGGAUGAGCAGCGAACGGGUGAGUAACGCGUGGGGAAUCUGCCUUUGAGCGGGGGACAACAUUUGGAAACGAAUGCUAAUACCGCAUAAAAACUUUAAACACAAGUUUUAAGUUUGAAAGAUGCAAUUGCAUCACUCAAAGAUGAUCCCGCGUUGUAUUAGCUAGUUGGUGAGGUAAAGGCUCACCAAGGCGAUGAUACAUAGCCGACCUGAGAGGGUGAUCGGCCACAUUGGGACUGAGACACGGCCCAAACUCCUUCGGGAGGCAGCAGUAGGGAAUCUUCGGCAAUGGACGAAAGUCUGACCGAGCAACGCCGCGUGAGUGAAGAAGGUUUUCGGAUCGGAAAACUCUGUUGGUAGGGAAGAACGUUGGUGAGAGUGGAAAGCUCAUCAAGUGACGGUAACUACACAGAAAGGGACGGCUAACUACGUG